CUGGCCACAGUUAUUCAGCUUUGUAGCUGCGAACUGAUAAUAUUCUAAGAUCUUAAAUGCAUAAUCAUACUACAAAGAUUAAAGAGCUCCAGAUGUGUCUUACUUUGGGUAAUCCUUUUUCAUAUCAGAAUGACAAACAGAAUCACAAACAGGCCUAUUGGAUUUGACUAGCAGACACAGGAGAGGCUGUCUAUCGUGGUCUAAAACACAAGUCUUCAUAUCCUCAUAUGCGAAACUUAUUCACAAACACGACGUCAAUUUCAAAACACUAGUUUUUUUUUCACUCUGUUCUUUUGGCUCCAAAUAAAAGCGUUCAAUAGCACGUUACAGAAAAUAAGUGCAAGUCGUAGUUUGAGUGCUGCAGUUGUCAUGGGUAUUUGGUAGCUUAAGGUCAUCAAUCACUGAUUGUGCACAAUUUUCCUCGACAGCAGUUCCGAGUCUUCCGAGGGGAGAAGCCAGAUGCGCUGCGUCUAUCUUCAGCUCAAAAGGGGACAAAAACCGCAGAACCGAGCACUCAAUUCAUCACGCGCAAUAAUGACGAGAAAAGCGUUUACAAUCUUUAUUUUAUAUCACAAUGCACAAAAAAUAUCAAAACAAAACAUCAGUUCGGCUAUUAGAUUAAUUUAGAUUAUCUAGGUAGAUCUCAGUGUGGUCUAGAAAAAUAAAUAUAUCAACAAUACCCCCCUGUGUGGAGAGCCAUUCGUGCGUUUUAGUUGAAUAAUGAGCCUUAUUGUUAAUAGCCUGUGAAUUUGAGGGCCCUGACAGUCCUGCAAAGCAAAAGCAAAUCACUUCUCAGAGAUCUUAGGGCGAGGGAGGUAUAUAAAUCCACAAUUUAAAUCAGACCCAUUUAUACUUACAGGCAUGUACAUAUAACGAUAUAAACGGAGCACCACCGGAGGCCAGCCGGCAUAUGGGUCGAUCUCGAUUGGUCAGAGUAAAAACAAGCCCCUCCCCUCGUUUGUUGUAGGCAAUAUUUACAUGUUGAGCCAGAAAGUACAGUAAGUAAUGAAGACAAGCGACGCGAGCUAUCAUUCACCGUUUAAAGUGGCGCUUUAAGAGACGUAAUGACCUCGUUCUUCAACUGUUACCCAGGUGGGAACUUUAUGACUUUCACGGCCAACUACUGUCAGGAUCAGAGGGAAACUGCGGCCCCGUCUUAGCCCGGAGGCGCCCGGGAGAGACUGACGAGAAGCAUUUUGGAUCAUCAUGUCAACACCCGAUUAACCUCGGACAUGCUUCAAGGCGGCAGAGAUGCUGAUUGACCAGUACUGAGACACACAAAGUUUUCAGCAAACAACGCUCUGAACUGGAGGAGUUUCAAGUCAACAAGUACCUGGGCAAUUAUCAAGGAUUGUAAUAUAUGGCGUUGUGAUCCUGAAUGAGAUCCUGCCUCCAGAAUAUGUGAAUGAAGACCUGGCACUGAGUUUCACCAACUCCCCCAUUUGCUUUGUAACCACACAUUGCUCUCACUGUCCAAAUUAAAGUGCCAGGAGCUAAAUUAAAAGAGCAGUUCAUUCAAAUGUUACUAUGGUGUGGGUUUUUAUCAUGGAAACACGUUUAUUUAUUCGUGUUAUUAAGUGAUCAUUGAAGUAUUUUCAGCUUUUGAUUAAUUUAUAUAUUGCUUUAAUACUUCUAAAGUGGUUUUAAAUUGAUGGAUAUUUAUGUUGAGUAGUCUAUAACUAAAGUGAAUAUAGAAAAAUCCACACACUGACAUCUGAGUUUAUUAUUGCUGCCUUAAGUUACCCAACCCAAGUCAAUCAUUGUGCACUUUGUGUUAACAUUAUAAAAAUAGUAUUCAACUGUUAUUAUAAAUAAUAAUUUAACACCUGAACCGACUGCAGAAUGUAAGCAUCUCUCUAUGUGUGUCAGUUCAUUAUGCAGCCUCUUUUCCAGAGUGCCCAAAUCAACUGUUUAGUCUUCAAGGCGGUGAUGUGAUUAGCAGUAAUUCUCUCAGAGCAAAUGUGGUGACAUGUAUUGAGGACUGCAACACUGUAUUCCAGGCAUCGGAUGGAGAGAUUAAACCUGACAGAAUUAAAAUUGUGAUAACAAAUGGCAGGCUUGACAUUUCUUUCAAUAAAAUAUUAUACUGUG